rnacentral:lncRNA from 1 species
UUGUCUUCUCCGAAAACUAUGCUUCCUCACGGUGGUGCUUAGAUGAACUCGUUCACAUCUUUCACUGUAAAGAACAACAGCAGCAGAUGGUUUUUCCAGUCUUUUUCAAGGUGGAUCCAUCGGAUGUGAGAAACCAAAGAGAGAGUUUCGGUAAGGCACUUGCUGACCAUGAAAGCAAACUCAAAGAUAACAUGGACAAGGUGUUGAGAUGGAGAGAAACUCUUACAAAAGCAGCAAAUUUGUCUGGCUGGUCAUUCCUGGCCGACGGGUAUUUUUCUGAUCUCUAUGUACUUGCAAACCUAUCAUUCAAAUUCAUAAGCAUAAUAUCAAGGCUUUUUAGCCAAAAUAGUUUUUCUGAGAGCAUAAUUCUUUGUUUUGUUCUUAAGAUUUAAAAUCGAUAUAAGUGGUUUUUGAUAUUAUCCAUCAUCAAUCAUUUUGGUUAUUUUCUUGAAAAAAUACUCUAUUAAAUUGAGUGUAUUUUUGUCAAAUCAAUCACUCCACUUGAAUUUGUGGUUUCUUCAGUUUAGCUAAGAUUUCUUACAGAAUGAUCAAAAUGAUUGAUGUUGGACACUCUCAUGAACCACUUUUAUCGAUUUAAAUUUCAGUGAUCAAAAUGAAGAGUUAUAACAAUUUUAGCAACUAUUUUAGUUAAAAAGACUAACAUAAAUAUAUAAUAUUUGAGAAAUGUUAAGGAGACUCUCUUAAAGUAGAACUUUUCAUGAGCUCUCUCACACCUCAUAGUUUAGUGUUAGUUCCCUUGCCAACAUUAUAAAAUAUUGUAGCAAAAAUCAGGUGGCAACAAGUUCAUGGAGAGUCUCACUUUUGAAAAAUUAUCCUUAGCAUUUUUCAUAAUAUUUUGAUAUUAUUCCCUCACAAUAUUAUAGGAACACUUGUUUAAGUUAUUCAUUAUUAGUAUAUGAAGCAAACACAUAUUAGAGAAUAUGAUCCCACAUCGGUAAUAUGAUAAAAUAAUAUACAAUAAAUAUAUAAGAGUUUGCACUCUUAAUACUAGCGAGAAUUUUUGUGGUAAAAUCUAAUACAGAGUGAUAGGAGAAAUUGAGACAAUAUCGGUAAUGCUGAUGAUAAAUCAUGUUCGGCCUAUAAAAUUUAUCAACACAUAGCCAAACGUCAUUCAUCUAUACUUAAUAUAUAAUGCCAACAGCCAAUUUGAGGUCAUGGGCUUCACAAAAAAGAAUGGGAAACAAAUGACCCCCCCCCCCAAAAAAAGUUCAAAAGCAGCCGAAUGCAUAAAAUAGUGCAGGAGUAAUUUUGUCAUAAAAAAAUUAUUUAUUUUCUUUAUGACGUAGAAUAUCCAAAUGUUUCUCCUAAGAUGAUCUAAUAUUAUUAAUUUAGUCCAAUUGUUUAACUUUCUUUUCCUUGAGUAGAGUUGUCACCUGAAAUAUUGAUUACAUGGAACAUCCACGGAUUUCUUCUAGUUUAAUUAUAAUAAUAUUCUUUUUUAUGCUUUUAAACUUGUAGGCAUGAAUAUAAAUUUAUUCAAAAAAUUGUUGAAGAGAUUUAUGACCAAGUUUUCGAGAGUACCCAUCUGAAAGUGGUAAAGUACCCAGUUGGAAUAGAGUCACGUGUCAAACAAUCCAGUUCGGUUUUUUUGGAUCCUCCUGUCCUCGAUCGCAAGCAAUUAGCCCUCCAACGCCGUGAAGGACAAACCGAAGAUCAAAAGUGCCACCAGCACCAUUUACUCUCCAGUCUCGCCCUCCCAAACCGUUCCUCCGACGCCGCACCGCCCGCAACCACCGCCAAUCCUGAUCAAGACCGAGAUCGAGAUCGAGAUCGCAGUCCUUCAAAGGUGCUGCUUCCGCCCUCGCUUUCUUAGCUGGAAGAUGUGUAGGAUUCGCUUUCUUAUGUAUGCUGUGUUACUGAUUGGUUUGGCGAUGCAGGCACAAGAUUGCAGGCAGCUGGAAACUCAGAUAAGGGGGAAGGUGUUGUUGCAGAACGGGACGAAUCUGAUAGUUUUGGGAUUCAUCGUUUUGUUUAUCAUCAUCGUACUAUUUAUACUAGUGGUGAGAAGUAGAUACGCGCCCGCCUAGGCUAUGGAGGUCGCCCAAAAAAGAAUAAUACUUGAUUUCAUGAAUAAGAAUUCAUACUUAAAAUU